GGAAAUGUGCCUGAACGCCAUAGGACUACUUUGAUAGAGUAAGACAUAGAGGUUAAAAUCCACUCAUUUCCU
rnacentral:tRNA from 1 species